rnacentral:rRNA from 1 species
UACGGAGGGUGCAAGCGUUAUCCGGAAUCACUGGGUUUAAAGGGUGCGUAGGCGGUCAGAUAAGUCAGUCGUGAAAUCGUUGGGCUUAACCUAUACAAUUGCGAUUGAUACUGUUUGACUUGAAUCAGGUUGAGGUGGGCGGAAUGUGACAUGUAGCGGUGAAAUGCUUAGAUAUGUCAUAGAACACCGAUUGCGAAGGCAGCCUUCUGGGCCUGAAUUGACGCUGAGGCACGAAAGCGUGGGGAGCAAACAGG